rnacentral:rRNA from 1 species
CCGAAUCCAAGGGGAAAAGCCCUUUAUUCUUUGCCCGGGGAGGAGGGGCAGGUAUCCGGCACAACCAAUUUGUUAGCCCAAGAAACCUUGUUACGCCCCACCCUUAAGGGAGUUCAGCAGUAAUAAAUUUUCAGCUUUAAGUGAAAACUUGACUUAGUCAGAGUUAAAAGGGUCGGUAAAAUUCGUGCCAGCCACCGCGGUUUUACGAAAGACCCCAGUUGAUAAACAGGGCGUAAAGGGUGGUUAAGGUAAAUCAUAAAUAAAGCUAAAGAUCUUUUAAGCCGUCAUACGCACUCCGAAGACACGAAACCCAAUCUACGAAAGUAGCUUUAAACAAAUUAACCUGACCCCACGAAAGCUAAGAAACAAACUGGGAUUAGAUACCCCACUAUGCUUAGCCUUAAACUUAGAUGUAACCUUACACAUACAUCCGCCCGGGUACUACGAGCACAGCUUAAAACCCAAAGGACUGGGCGGUGUCUCAGACCCACCUAGAGGAGCCUGUUCUAGAACCGAUAACCCCCGUUAAACCUCAUCACUUCUUGUUUUCUUCCGCCUAUAUACCGCCGUCGUCAGCUUACCCUGUGAAGGUCUAGCAGUAAGCAAAAUGGGCUCACCCAAAAACGUCAGGUCGAGGUGUAGCGUACGAAGUGGAAAGAAAUGGGCUACAUUUUCUGUAUACAGAACAUUACGAAAAACAUCUUGAAACAGAUGCCAGAAGGUGGAUUUAGUAGUAAAAAGCAAAUAGAGUGUACUUUUGAAUUAGGCUCUGAGACGCGCACACACCGCCCGUCACUCUCCCCACAUAAACCAUCCACUUAAUUCAUAAUAA